CCAGCACCUGCGGUAAUUCCAGCUCCAAUAGCGUAUAUUAAAGUUGUUGCAGUUAAAAAGCUCGUAGUUGGAUUUGUGGCGCGUGCCGUGGCGUUCCUUAAUUGGAUUCUGCCUUGGCCGUGCCAUCCUUGGGUGGAAUCUGUGUGGCAUUAGGUUGUCGUGCAGGGGAUGCCCAUCGUUUACUGUGAAAAAAUUAGAGUGUUCAAAGCAGGCUUAUGCCGUUGAAUAUAUUAGCAUGGAAUAAUAAGAUAGGUCUUUGGUCCUAUUUUGUUGGUUUGCGGGCCGGAGAAAUGAUUAACAGGGACAGUUGGGGGUCUUCGUAUUCCAUUGUCAGAGGUGAAAUUCUUGGAUUUCUGGAAGACGAACUACUGCGAAAGCAUUGACCAAGGAUGUUUUCAUU
rnacentral:rRNA from 1 species